GAUGAACGCUGGCGGCGUGCCUAAUACAUGCAAGUCGAGCGAACGGACGAGAAGCUUGCUUCUCUGAUGUUAGCGGCGGACGGGUGAGUAACACGUGGAUAACCUACCUAUAAGACUGGGAUAACUUCGGGAAACCGGAGCUAAUACCGGAUAAUAUUUUGAACCGCAUGGUUCAAAAGUGAAAGACGGUCUUGCCGUCACUUAUAGAUGGAUCCGCACUGCAUUAGCUAGUUGGUAAGGUAACGGCUUACCAAGGCAACGAUGCAUAGCCGACCUGAGAGGGUGAUCGGCCACACUGGAACUGAGACACGGUCCAGACUCCUACGGGAGGCAGCAGUAGGGAAUCUUCCGCAAUGGGCGAAAGCCUGACGGAGCAACGCCGCGUGAGUGAUGAAGGUCUUCGGAUCGUAAAACUCUGUUAUUAGGGAAGAACAUAUGUGUAAGUAACUGUGCACAUCUUGACGGUACCUAAUCAGAAAGCCACGGCUAACUACGUG
rnacentral:rRNA from 1 species